GGGUCAGUAGGUUGGUCGUGCCACCGGUACGUACUGGUCCCACUGAUUCCUCCUUCCUGAAGAACCGUAAUGCCAUUAAUUUGGUGUUGCGGGGAAACAGGACUGUUACUUUGAAAAAAUUAGAGUGUUUAAAGCAAGCUAACGCUUGAAUACAUUAGCAUGGAAUAAUGAAAUAGGACGAUCGAUCCUAUUUUGUUGGUUUCUAGGAUUGACGUG
rnacentral:rRNA from 1 species